GAACGUGUCCUGUAGUGGGGGAUAGCCCGGCGAAAGCCGGAUUAAUACCGCAUACGCUCUACGGAGGAAAGGGGGGGAUCUUAGGACCUCUCGCUACAGGGGCGGCCGAUGGCAGAUUAGCUAGUUGGUGGGGUAAAGGCCUACCAAGGCGACGAUCUGUAGCUGGUCUGAGAGGACGACCAGCCACACUGGGACUGAGACACGGCCCAGACUCCUACGGGAGGCAGCAGUGGGGAAUUUUGGACAAUGGGCGCAAGCCUGAUCCAGCAAUGCCGCGUGUGUGAAGAAGGCCUUCGGGUUGUAAAGCACUUUUGUCCGGAAAGAAAUCCUUUGGGCUAAUACCCUGAGGGGAUGACGGUACCGGAAGAAUAAGCACCGGCUAACUACGUGCCAGCAGCCGCGGUAAUACGUAGGGUGCAAGCGUUAAUCGGAAUUACUGGGCGUAAAGCGUGCGCAGGCGGUCCGCUAAGACAGAUGUGAAAUCCCCGGGCUUAACCUGGGAACUGCAUUUGUGACUGGCGGGCUAGAGUAUGGCAGAGGGGGGUAGAAUUCCACGUGUAGCAGUGAAAUGCGUAGAGAUGUGGAGGAAUACCGAUGGCGAAGGCAGCCCCCUGGGCCAAUACUGACGCUCAU
rnacentral:rRNA from 1 species